UCACAACUAGCUCAACGGUAGAGCACAAGACUUCCACUCUUGAGGUUGAAGGUUCGACUCCUUCGUUCGUAG
rnacentral:tRNA from 1 species